UACGUAGGGUGCGAGCGUUAAUCGGAAUUUCUGGGCGUAAAGCGUGCGCAGGCGGUUUGCUAAGACAGGUGUGAAAUCCCCGGGCUUAACCUGGGAACUGCGCUUGUAACUGGCAAGCUGGAGUGUGGCAGAGGGGGGUGGAAUUCCACGUGUAGCAGUGAAAUGCGUAGAGAUGUGGAGGAACACCGAUGGCGAAGGCAGCCCCCUGGGCUAACACUGACGCUCAUGCACGAAAGCGUGGGGAGCAAACAGG
rnacentral:rRNA from 1 species